rnacentral:rRNA from 1 species
UACGUAGGCAGCGAGCGUUGUUCGGAGUUACUGGGCGUAAAGAGUGCGUAGGCGGUUUUCUAAGUUUGGUGUGAAAUCUCCCGGCUCAACUGGGAGGGUGCGCCGAAGACUGGAUGGCUUGAGUUUGGGAGAGGGACGCGGAAUUCCAGGUGUAGCGGUGAAAUGCGCAGAUAUCAGGAGGAACACCGGUGGCGAAGGCGGAUCUCUGGGCCUUACCUGACGCUGAGGCGCGAAAGCUAGGGGAGCAAACAGG